AUCAACAUCAACAACAUCAUCAUCAUCAGCAGCAUCAUCAGCAGCAGCAGCAGAGACCCGCGCAGGCGCUCUCCUCACCACGACACUGGCCACGAGAAACUUUUCUGUGUCCACGAUGAAUAGGAAGACUGAUGGAGUGAAG